rfam:Stegodyphus mimosarum contig56556, whole genome shotgun sequence.
CAAAAGGUUCUUUUCAGAACCAAUUUUUUACAAAUAUUUUCUCU